CAAUAUUAAAAUUAAGUAAAAAUCUAUUAUCUAUUAAUUAACUGAAGUAUAAGCUAUAAAUAUAAAUACGACAGACCAGCUGUGUGUUACAUGUAAUAUAUGUCCAGAAAAGUAUACUCCAAGAAAUCCUGGAAAUAUUUUAUAUUAUUAUUUUUAUUGAAUGUUUUGGUGCAAGAUCUGAUGGGUUUACUGCAAUUGCAUUAUUAUGAAAACCUGAACCACCAAUUAUAAAUGCAAGACAAAUUAUUGCACUUUGAAAAGUUUCCACUUUUGCU